rnacentral:tRNA from 1 species
GGCUCCAUAGUGUAGUAGUUAGCACGUCUGCUUUACACUCGGAAAGGUCCUCAGUUCGCGCCCCGGGUGAAGCCA